rnacentral:rRNA from 1 species
UUAUCGGAGAGUUUGAUCCUGGCUCAGGACGAACGCUGGCGGCGUGCCUAAUACAUGCAAGUCGAGCGGACAGAUGGGAGCUUGCUCCCUGAUGUUAGCGGCGGACGGGUGAGUAACACGUGGGUAACCUGCCUGUAAGACUGGGAUAACUCCGGGAAACCGGGGCUAAUACCGGAUGGUUGUCUGAACCGCAUGGUUCAGACAUAAAAGGUGGCUUCGGCUACCACUUACAGAUGGACCCGCGGCGCAUUAGCUAGUUGGUGAGGUAACGGCUCACCAAGGCAACGAUGCGUAGCCGACCUGAGAGGGUGAUCGGCCACACUGGGACUGAGACACGGCCCAGACUCCUACGGGAGGCAGCAGUAGGGAAUCUUCCGCAAUGGACGAAAGUCUGACGGAGCAACGCCGCGUGAGUGAUGAAGGUUUUCGGAUCGUAAAGCUCUGUUGUUAGGGAAGAACAAGUGCCGUUCAAAUAGGGCGGCACCUUGACGGUACCUAACCAGAAAGCCACGGCUAACUACGUGCCAGCAGCCGCGGUAAUACGUAGGUGGCAAGCGUUGUCCGGAAUUAUUGGGCGUAAAGGGCUCGCAGGCGGUUUCUUAAGUCUGAUGUGAAAGCCCCCGGCUCAACCGGGGAGGGUCAUUGGAAACUGGGGAACUUGAGUGCAGAAGAGGAGAGUGGAAUUCCACGUGUAGCGGUGAAAUGCGUAGAGAUGUGGAGGAACACCAGUGGCGAAGGCGACUCUCUGGUCUGUAACUGACGCUGAGGAGCGAAAGCGUGGGGAGCGAACAGGAUUAGAUACCCUGGUAGUCCACGCCGUAAACGAUGAGUGCUAAGUGUUAGGGGGUUUCCGCCCCUUAGUGCUGCAGCUAACGCAUUAAGCACUCCGCCUGGGGAGUACGGUCGCAAGACUGAAACUCAAAGGAAUUGACGGGGGCCCGCACAAGCGGUGGAGCAUGUGGUUUAAUUCGAAGCAACGCGAAGAACCUUACCAGGUCUUGACAUCCUCUGACAAUCCUAGAGAUAGGACGUCCCCUUCGGGGGCAGAGUGACAGGUGGUGCAUGGUUGUCGUCAGCUCGUGUCGUGAGAUGUUGGGUUAAGUCCCGCAACGAGCGCAACCCUUGAUCUUAGUUGCCAGCAUUCAGUUGGGCACUCUAAGGUGACUGCCGGUGACAAACCGGAGGAAGGUGGGGAUGACGUCAAAUCAUCAUGCCCCUUAUGACCUGGGCUACACACGUGCUACAAUGGACAGAACAAAGGGCAGCGAAACCGCGAGGUUAAGCCAAUCCCACAAAUCUGUUC